AUUGAACGCUGGCGGCAGGCCUAACACAUGCAAGUCGAACGGUAACAGGAAGAAGCUUGCUUCUUUGCUGACGAGUGGCGGACGGGUGAGUAAUGUCUGGGAAGCUGCCUGAUGGAGGGGGAUAACUACUGGAAACGGUAGCUAAUACCGCAUAAUGUCGCAAGACCAAAGAGGGGGACCUUCGGGCCUCUUGCCAUCGGAUGUGCCCAGAUGGGAUUAGCUAGUAGGUGGGGUAACGGCUCACCUAGGCGACGAUCCCUAGCUGGUCUGAGAGGAUGACCAGCCACACUGGAACUGAGACACGGUCCAGACUCCUACGGGAGGCAGCAGUGGGGAAUAUUGCACAAUGGGCGCAAGCCUGAUGCAGCUAUGCCGCGUGUAUGAAGAAGGCCUUCGGGUUGUAAAGUACUUUCAGCGGGGAGGAAGGGAGUAAAGUUAAUACCUUUGCUCAUUGACGUUACCCGCAGAAGAAGCACCGGCUAACUCCGUG
rnacentral:rRNA from 1 species